rnacentral:rRNA from 1 species
CAGUCGCCGCGGUAAUACGUAGGUGGCAAGCGUUGUCCGGAAUUAUUGGGCGUAAAGGGCUCGCAGGCGGUUUCUUAAGUCUGAUGUGAAAGCCCCCGGCUCAACCGGGGAGGGUCAUUGGAAACUGGGAAACUUGAGUGCAGAAGAGGAGAGUGGAAUUCCACGUGUAGCGGUGAAUGCGUAGAGAUGUGGAGGAACACCAGUGGCGAAGGCGACUCUCUGGUCUGUAACUGACGCUGAGGAGCGAAAGCGUGGGGAGCGAACAGGAUUAGAUACCCCAGUAGUCCCUGUCUCUUAUACC